rnacentral:rRNA from 1 species
GACGAAGGUGGCGAGCGUUACUCGGAAUUACUAGGCGUAAAGCGUGGGUAGGUGGCUCAGCAAGUCUGUUGUGAAAGCUCCUGGCUUAACUGGGAGAGGCCAAUGGAUACUGCUGGGCUUGAAUCGUGGAGAGGUCACUGGAGUUCCUGGUGUAGCGGUGAAAUGCGUAGAGAUCAGGAGGAACACCAAUGGCGAAAGCAGGUGACUGGACACGUAUUGACACUCAGCCACGAAAGCUAGGGGAGCAAACAGG